rnacentral:rRNA from 1 species
UACGUAGGGGGCAAGCGUUGUCCGGAUUUAUUGGGCGUAAAGAGCGUGUAGGCGGCUUUACAGGUCCGUUGUGAAAACUCGAGGCUCAACCUCGAGACGCCGGUGGAAACCGUGUGGCUAGAGUCCGGAAGAGGAGAGUGGAAUUCCUGGUGUAGCGGUGAAAUGCGCAGAUAUCAGGAGGAACACCGGUGGCGAAGGCGGUUCUCUGGGAAUAUCCUGACGCUGAGGAGCGAAAGUGUGGGGAGCGAACAGG